UGGUGAUGAUAGUGAAGGCAGUGGUGAUGAUAAUGAAGGUAGUGGUGAUGAGGAAUGUGAUGGUAUCAUCCCCAUUGCCUUCAACAUUAUCACCAUUGCCUUCAGCAUCA
rnacentral:pre_miRNA from 11 species